AGAAGAUGGAAAUGAACAGUGACUAGUCAGCGAUCUCUGUCACAGGUCUAGAGCAUGUGGAACAUUUGGUGAUAGGUGAUUGCAAAGAAGCAAGAGGAAACUAAGCAGACUGACAAGUCGGGGAAGGCCUCGAAUACCAUCCUCCCUGGUAGCCCUAGUGGUGCCCACUUCCUUGCCUCAGGACAAGGGUAUGCUGAAGAGAAGACAUGGUAGGAACAAACAGGUGGGUUCCCAGGAUGCAACUCAGACUGACAGGAGUGCAGGGCAAGCUCCUUUACUCACUGAGCUGUCCUAAGGAUCCAGGCUAUGACUAAGACUGGAGCUUUGGAGCCAUCAGCUCUCACUGGAACACUCCCAACAGAAGCUG
rnacentral:lncRNA from 1 species